GGAUUAAUACCCCAUAAUAUAUUUGAUAAGGCAUCUUAUUAAUAUUUAAAGCUUCGGCACUUGAUGAUGGGUGUGCGGCUGAUUAGAUAGUUGGCGGGUAACGGCCCACCAAGUCUACGAUCAGUAGCUGAUGUGAGAGCAUGAUCAGCCACACGGGCACUGAGACACGGGCCCGACUCCUACGGGAGGCAGCAGUAAGGAUAUUGGACAAUGGACGAAAGUCUGAUCCAGCCAUGCCCGCGUGAAGGAUUAAGGUCCUCUGGAUUGUAAACUUCUUUUAUAUGGGACGAAAAAGGGCAUUCUUGUUCACUUGACGGUACCAUAUGAAUAAGCACCGGCUAACUCCGUG
rnacentral:rRNA from 1 species